AUGGCCCUGACUGAAGACCAGCAGUUAUAUAAUAGCUGGUGGUUUCAAACAGAGGCCUAAAGAACUUUCUUCCAAUUCUCCCCCUUUUGGGCAGUUCUGGAACCUCAGUAGAGAAUGGCUAUUUCGUUUGGAAGAAACAACU
ensembl:snoRNA small nucleolar RNA, H/ACA box 34